rnacentral:rRNA from 1 species
AACGAACGCUGGCGGCAGGCUUAACACAUGCAAGUCGAACGAGCUGGGGGCCUUCGGGUCCCGAUGCUAGUGGCGCACGGGUGAGUAACACGUGGGAAUAUGCCCUUUAGUACGGAACAACCCAGGGAAACUUGGGCUAAUACCGGAUAAGCCCUUACGGGGAAAGAUUUAUCGCCGAAAGAUCGGCCCGCGUCUGAUUAGCUAGUUGGUGUGGUAACGGCGCACCAAGGCGACGAUCAGUAGCNGGUCUGAGAGGAUGAUCAGCCACAUUGGGACUGAGACACGGCCCAAACUCCUACGGGAGGCAGCAGUGGGGAAUAUUGGACAAUGGGCGCAAGCCUGAUCCAGCCAUGCCGCGUGAGUGGUGAAGGCCCUAGGGUUGUAAAGCUCUUUUGUGCGGGAAGAUAGUGACGGUACCGCAAGAAUAAGCCCCGGCUAACUUCGUGCCAGCCGCCGCUGUAAG